rnacentral:lncRNA from 1 species
CUCUCCGGGCCUCCGGCUCCGUAUAGCCGCGCAUCCUAGCCCGAAGCUGAUGCUGCCCGGUCGGCUCCGGCCUUCCCGGCUGCCUGACCCGCCGGGCCCCAAGCCCCGGGCUCCGGCCUGGGCCCAGCGGCCUGGAGCGCGGCCUUGGCCCGUCUGCCCGCCGCCUCGCCGCCACGACUUCGCCCGUCUGUGCCCCACCGGCCGCACCUUUGAAUAGGUAGUCGUACUCGUCGUCCCGGGUCCCCAUUGUCCUGGCGCUUCCGGCGGGAUCGGCGACUCCGCAGCCCCACCACAAACACCCGACGGGGGCGGAGCCGGCGCCGCGCAGAGCGGCGGUUGAAUGGCCUAUCAGCGGCGAGUGGAGUAGCGACGGGCACCCAGCGAAGCCAAUCAGAGAUGGAAGUAGUGCUCUGAGGGUGGGCGCCGCUUGGUACCACCCUCCUCGCCCUCGGUGUCCUGGAGAAAGGCGGAAGGAAUGCGGACCUUUUUGAAGUGACGGACGCGCCAGCCUAUCAGGGGCGAGCUCAAGAGGGCGGGGCGGAAGACUGCAGGAAUGAAAUGGAUUGACAGACCAAAUAACUAAUGAGAGGCUUGAUUGAGAACCUACCCGACUAUCAGAGGACCUGUCCGGGAAGAGAAAUGGGGCUACGUCCAGGUAAUGCUACGAUGCUUAACGUCCCGAUGACGUCAUAGGUCAGCGCGCGCUGCCCUGGUCGCCCCCCAAGCCCAUAAAUGACCAUUUCCGGGGACCUCAGCGCUGGGUCCCCUUUCUCGGUUGCAGUCUCCAUCUCUAUAUUGGGACUCACUGGGUUAUCCUUCUGUGCCUCAGUUUCCUCCUCUGUAAACUGAAGAAACCCGUCUCAUGGAAUCUUUUGAAAAUAACCAGAUCAGCCAGGCGCGGUGGCUCACGCCUGUAAUUCCAGGACUUUGGGAGGCCGAGGCUGGCGGAUCACGAGGUCAGGAGUUCGAGACCAGCCUGACCAACAUGGUGAAACCCCGUUUCUACUAAAAAUACAAAAAUUAGUCGGGCGUGGUCGCUGGUGCCUGUAAACCCAGCUACUCAGGAGGUUGAGGCAGGAGAAUCGCUUGAACCUGGGAGGUGGAGGUUGCAGUGAGCCGAGAUUGCACCAAGUGUGAAUCAACCGUCCACUUUCUGCUAUUCUUUGUUAAAUAAAUACUUUUAAAUCCUUACUGGAUACCAAUGCUCUCCAACAGGACCUCCUACCACUACCCCUCUUUUGUCCUAUAUUUUGCCACAUAGGUAAAAUAUAAAAAUAGGUAAUAUAGAAAAUAAAACACAUACUGCUGUAUUGUCAGGUAGUGAUAGGAUUUAUCACUACCUGACAAUACAGUAUGUGUUUGUUUUAUAUAUUUAGGGUGUACAGCGUGUGUUUUGAUACACAUGUACCCAGUGAAAUAAUAAUUAUGACAGUUUUUUUUUUUUUUUUUGAGACGGAGUUUUGCUGUCGUUGCCCAGGCUGAAGUGCAAUGGUGUGCUCUCGGCUCACUGCAGCCUCUGCCUCCCGGGUUCAAGCGAUUCUCAUGCCUCAGCCUCCCGAAUAGCUGGGAUUACAGGCAUGCACCACCAUGCUUGGCUAAUUUUUUUGUAUUUUUAGUAGAGACGGGGUUUCUCCAUGUUGGUCAGGCUGAUCUCGAACUCCUGACCUCAGGUGAUUCGCCCACCUUGGCCUCCCAAAGUGCUGGGAUUACAGGCAUUUUCACCACACAUGGCCAAUUAUGAGAGUUAAGCAAUUAACCUAUCCAUUGCCUUCCAUAAUUAACUGUGUGUGUAGUGAGAGUAUCUAAAAUGUACUUUCUUGGCAAAUUUUCAAUAUACUAUGCAAAAUUAUUAACACAAAGUAUACGUUACUUUUUGUUUGUUUGUUUUGGCUGGCUGCGGUGGCUUAUGCCUAAAAACAUGCCCUUUGAGGAGGCUGAGGUGGGAGGAUCACUUGAGGCCAGGAGCUAGAGACCAGCCUAGGCAACAUGUCAAAACCCAGUCUCUCAAAAAAAAAAAAAAAAAAAGAAAAAAAGGAAAAAAAAGAGAAAAGGAAAAAAAAGAAAAGAACAACAACAAAAAUUAGCCAGAUGUGGUGCAUCAUGCCAGGGUCCCAGAUACUUGGGAGGCCAAGGCGGGAGGAUCAUUCGAGCCUGGGAAAUCGAGGCUGCAGUGAGCCAUGAUCACCCCACUGCACUCCAGCUUGGGUAACAGAGCAAGACCCUGUCUCAAAAAAAAAAAAGCCUUGCUUUCCUGACCCAUUGAUCUGUUUGUUUUUUGUCCUCUGUCAGCAGCAUAUCAGCCUGAUGACAUCAGGGACUGUAUCUGUCCCCAUCAUUGCUGUAAGUUCCCCACUGCUGAAUAAAUACGUUUAUUUAUUCAGUGGUGAAUAAUCUAAGCCUAGAGUCAAUGUACUAGUUAUUAGAGCAGAUGCCAUUAUCGCCUCUUGGAUCUCAUUCCCAGGGUGUUCAUUGGGCAUCUGUCAAAAAAACAAAAUUACAACACAUUUAGUUUAAAGAUCUUAAUUGAUUUUAUUUGCAAUUCUACAAUCGGGCAACACUUCAUUUCACAAAAUGAAACUAAUUUUCCCAUGAGCUGAGCAGGUAGGUUGGUUUUACAGGCAGAAAAAGGGCCAAGUAAAGCACAAACAGAAAAUAAAACGUGGAGGUCAGGUGCAGUGGCUCAUGCCUGUAAUCCCAGCACUUUGGAGGCCGAGGCAGGCAGAUCACCCGAGGUCAGGAGUUCGAGACCAGCUUGACCAACAUGAUAAUGAUGAUGAAACCCUAUCUCUACUAACAAUACAAAAAUAUUAGCCGGGCGCGGUGGCAGGUGCCUGUAAUCCCAGCUACUCAGGAGGUUGAGGCAGGAGAAUCACUUGAACCAGGGAGGCGGAGGUUGCAGUGAGCGAAGAUCACACCAUUGCACUCCAGCCUGGGAGAGCAGAGCAAAACUCCGACUCAAAAAAAAAGAAAAAAAGAAAAGAAAACUUGGAUUGGUCAUUUUAAAGUUUCCUUUUGGAGUCUGAGUCUUGCUCUGUCACCCAGGCUGGAGUGCAGUGGUGCGAUCAUAGCUCACUGCAACCUCAACUUCCUGGGAUCAAGCAAUCUUCCCACCUCAGCCUCCUGAGGAGCUAGGAUCACAGGUGUGUGCCACCAUGCCCAGCUAAUUUUUUUUUUCCAGAGACAGGGUCUUGCCUUGUUGGCCAGGCUGGAUUUGAACUCCUGAACUCAAGCAAUCCUCCUGCCUUGGCCUCCCAAAGUGCUGGGAUUACAGGCAUGAGCCACCACCGCACUCAGCCCAAAGUUACUUUUCUUGUAAAGGUUAAAGCAGAGAGGACAUCCUUAUCAUGAUGGCUAAAACUGACCUGGUGGGAGACUUGGCUAUCCCAUCUCUCUCUCUCCUGAUUUUGUAGAAGGUCAGAUAAACAACUUAGUUUCUUUUUGAUCACGUAAAACUUUAGCAUGAGUGACUCCAUUUUGGUUUAGUUUGUUGGGCCUGGUGUAGGAAGUCAGUCCAAAGUAAUAGCCUCCUAUAAGUUUUGUAUAACACAUCCUGUGUCCAGAUUGGUGGGUUCUUGGUCUUGCUGACUCCAAGAAUGAAGCCACAGACCCUCCGGUGAGUGUUACGGUUCUGAAAGAUGGUGUGUCCAGAGUUUGUUCCUUCUGAUAUUCAGACAUGUCUAGAGUUUCUUGCUUCUGGUGGGCUUUUGGUCUCGCUGACUUCAGGAGUGAAACUGCAGACCUUUGCGGUGAGUGUUACAGCUCAUAAAGGCAGUGCGCACCCAAAGAGUGAGCAGCAGCAGGAUUUACUGGGAAGAGUGAAAGAACAAAGUUUCCACAGCAUGGAAGGGGACCCAAGCACGUUGCCGCUGCUGGCUGCGGUGUCCUGCUUUUAUUCCCUUAUUUGGCCCCACCUACAUCCUGCUGAUUGGUCCAUUUUACAGAGAGCUGAUUGGUCCACUUUACAGAGUGCUGAUUGGUCCGUUUUACAGAGUGCUGAUUGGUCCGUUUUGACAGAGUGCUGAUUGGUGCAUUUACAAACCUUUAGCUAGACACAGAGUGCUGAUUGGUGCAUUUACAAUCCUUUAGCUAGACAGGAAAGUUCUCUAAGUCCCCUACGCGAUUAGUUAGACACAGAGCGCUGAUUGGUGCAUUUACAAACCUUUAGCUAGACACAGAGCGCUGAUUGGUGCAUUUGCAAUCCUUUAGCUAGACAGAAAAGUUCUCCAAGUCCCUACUCAACCAAGAAGCCCAGCCGGCUUCACCUCUCAAUCACCCCUCUAAACAGAACACCCCAACUGCUGUUGGGAAUUUGGCCGAUGACCACUCUAGCUACUUCCUGCUGGAAGAAGGGGCCCUGCAAUUGUAGUGUCCUCCAGAGGGGAACUCUUUAGGCCAGUGGAAGGGCCAGUGGGUCGGUCCAGGGGUCCUCAGUAGAAGUUGUUAGUUGAACUCAUUUGGGGUUCCAUUUUUAAGACCAUCUGUAGCUUGAUGGCCUCGAUUCUAGAAGAAACAAAUUUGACAAGAAGGUUAAAAAUGCAGGGCCCAAAGGUGAGUAAGAGCAAGAUGGCUGCCACAGGACCUAGGGGAGAAGCCAUGUUGCCCAACUCCAGAGGUUGGUAUUAGAGUUCGAAAGGCAUUGUCUGAUUUCAGAAGCCUUUUCCUGUAAAUGCCAGGUGGCAUCUCGUGCUAUCCCUGACUGUUUAGUGUAAAAACAACACUCUUCCCCUAAGAAGGUGCAGAGUCCUCCUUUCUCAGCAGUGAGGAGGUCUAGGCCUCAGUGGUUUUGGAGAGUUGCUGCUGCCAAAGAGUAUAUUUGGGAUUGUAGAGUAAGGAUAGAUUUUGUUAUUUCUUACAAACUGUCUGAGAAAUCCUUUGAAGGUGUAUGGUAGUAGAAUAAUGAAGUGGAUAAACUGGCUAUUCCGGUUCCUGUAGCAGUAGCCAUUCCUAACCCUAUAAGUAGGGAUAUUAGUUGUAUGGCCCUGCGCUGAUAGACUUGAGCUUUGAGGGGCACAGAUACGGUCUGAUUUCCAUAAGAUUAGAAGUUAGGAUAAUACAUGUUACACUGUUAACUUUUUUAGCAAACUUUACUUUUGUUGAAAACCUUGUAAGUUUGGGAUUUCAAUUAUUCUUUGCUAUUAGUAAGACCUUGUUCAGUCCAUAUUAACUUAGAAUUGGUAUAGAUGGCUGCUUCCUGAUUCUGUAAGUACUUUAAGAUUUGGCUGAGUGGAAACAACUGGCAUGUUUGAGCAGACCAAUUAUUAGGCAAUUUUCCUAACUCUGCAUCUACAAGAGUUUCCUUAUCACUUACUGAAUACCCAUUGUGUCUUUUUCCCUUAAUCGCCUGGGAGGAACCAUCUAUCAUCCUGUCCUGAAGGGAGUUCCUCCUAGAUCUGGUCAGACCUUUGUAUGGUAAUUAAUUAAGAUUUAGAUCUCCUGUUAGGAAACCUGCUGGGUUAAGGAUUUUUGAUAGGAAGGCUACAGGUUGUCAGUGGCCUCAGUGCUUUCCGGCUAUGCCCUUGUUUACACUGACAACAAGGUGGUAUUGGAGUGUUAUAAGGUUACAGAGAAGACCUUCAAUUAUCAAUUAUAGGUUUUAAAUUUACGCUAGGGUACACUUUUUUUUUUUUACUACUUCUAUCUCCUUUUCUCUUUGACUUCUUCUUUGUCUCUGUCUCUUCCUCUCUGUCUCCUUCUCUUUGUCUCUCUGUUUCUUCCUCUCUUCUCUCUUUCUCUGACUUCCUGUCUCUUUCUCUCUUUCCUUUCUGCUGGUCUUUCCCUGCCUCUGCUAGCCACUUAUGCUGCUGUUCUCCCCUCUUCUUCCCAUUUUUGAUGGCUUCGGCUGUGUAAGACUGCCACCUCCUUGGGUUUUUGCACUGUGUGCAAUAACUCCAUGGUUUCCUUGUGGUAUUUAAUGGGGGUUCCCCCAGAGGUUAGAAACUCCCUUUCUUUCCAUAUUGCGGCAUGGGCAUGUAGGAUUAGGUAAGCAUACUUGCUAUAUGUAUACACAUUUAUUCUUUUUCCGUUUCCCAGUUCUAAGGCUCAGGUAAGUGCCACUAGUUCUGCUAACUGGGCGCUGGUCCCUGGGGGAAGAGGCUUACUUUCAAGUACAGUUACAUCACUAACUAUGGCAUAACCUGCCCUUCAUAUCCCAUUCUCCACAAAUGAACUUCCAUCAGUAUAUAGGUUAAGGUCAAGAUUAGCUAAGGGGACUUCUAAGAGAUCCUCUUGGGCAGCAUAAUUCUGGGCUAUAAUUUGUUGGCAGUCAUGCUCAAUUGGUUCCUCAUACUCUGGGAGAAAAGUGGCAGGGUUGAGGGCCACACAUGUGCAUAUUUGAAGCACCAGCCCCUCAAGGAAUAGUGCCUGGUAUCUAAGUAGGCGAUUGUCUGAUAGCCAUAAACUUUCUUUAGCACCUAGGUUGCCAUUUACAUCAUGAGUAGUCCAGACAGUGAGAUCCUUUCCUUGUAUUAUUUUGAUAGCCUCUGACACUAAGACAGCCACUGCUGCAACUACCCAUAAGCAAUGAGGCCAGCCAUUUGCUACUACAUCAGUUUCCUUACUUAGGUAUGCCACUGGUUGUGGGGUUAUCCCAUGAGUCUGAGUAAGGACUCCAAGAGCUAUCCCUGCUCUCUCUGUGAUGUUUUGUCCUGUGGGAAGGCUUAAAGCUGGAGCUUGUACUAGGGCCUGCUUUAAGGUUUUGAAGGCUGUUUCUGCCCCUGGUUCCCAUUCUACUAGAUGAGUAUUUGCCCUCUGGGUCUCCUUGAUUAGAGUAUAGAGGGGCCUGGCUAUCUCGCUGUAUCUGGGGAUCCACAAUCAGCAAAAGCUGGUGAUUUCAAGGAACCCCUGCAACUGUUAAAUGUCUUAGGGUGAGGAUAAGCCAGUAUAGGCUGUAUUUGUUCCUUGCUGAGGGCCCUGAUUCCUCUGGCUAAGAUUAGGCCUAGAUAUUUGACCUGCUGUAGGCAAAGCUGGGCCUUCGACCUAGAUGCCUUGUACCCUUGAUUAGCUAGAAAGUUCAAGAGAUCUAGAGUAGCCUGCUGGCAUGAGGCUUCUGAACUAGUAGCCAAAAGUAAAUCAUCCACAUACUGAAGGACCAGAGCACCUGGAUUUGAGAAGUGGCCUAGAUCUUGAGCCAGUGCCUGACCAAACAGAUGAGGGCUAUCCCUAAACCCUUGGGGCAAGACCAUCCACGUAAGUUGGGACGUGUGGUCUGUGGGAUCCUCAAAGGCAAAGAGAAACUGAGAGUCAGAGUGCAGGGGAAUACAGAAGAAGGCAUCCUUGAGGUCCAGAACAGUGAACCAUUCUGCUUCCUCUGGUAUUUGAGAGAGCAGGGUAUAGGGGUUGGAUACAACUGGAUAUAGAAAAAUUAUUGCCUCAUCGAUGAGUCUAAGAUCUUGCACUAGUCUCCAUUGACCAUUUGGUUUUUGUACUCCUAGAAUUGGGGUGUUGCAGGGACUGCUGCAUUUCCUUACUAAGCCUUGAGCUUUUAAAUGUUUAACAAUAUCCUGUAAUCCUUUAUAAGCUUCAGGCUUUAAGGAAUAUUGCCUUUGAUAAGGAAAUGUGGUGGGAUCUUUUACCCUGAUUUGGACUGGGUGGGCAUUUUUUGCCCUUCCAAAUUGUCCUUCCAAUGCCCAGACUUCAGGCUUGAUUUCAUCCUCAAGUAGGGGACAACAAAUGGGAAACUUGUUCCCCAUAUUCAUGUAGAUAAUAGCUCCAGCUUUGGCUAAUAUAUCCCUCCCUAAUAAGGGUGUGGGACUUUCAGGCAUAACAAGAAAGGCAUGUGAAAAGAGCAAAGUCUCCCAAUUACAACUGAGGAGGUGGGAGAAAUACCUGGUUACAGGCUGUCCCAGGAUUCCUCAGAUGGUAACGGACCUGGAGGACAGCUGUUCAGGACAGGAAAUUAACACUGAGAAAGCCGCACCAGUGUCCAGGAGGAAGUCAAUUUCCUGGCUGUCAAUGGUUAAAGUUACCUGGGGCUCAGUGAGAGUGAUGACAUGAGCUGACACUUGCCCCAGGCACCCUCAGUCCUGUUGUUGGAUCAUCUGGUUGGGGGCUUCUGUCCCAGAGAAGCUUUGUCCUCUGGGGCAGUGUGCCUUCCAGUGAUUGCCUUGGCAUAGGGGACAUGGACAAGGGGGCAGCUUGUUUCUCAUUGGACAAUCUUUUUUAAAGUGUCCUUGCAAACCACACUGCUAACAAGCCAUACUGGAUGAUUGGCCUGCUCCAUUUUCUGUCCUCUCUGAACCACCAAGGUUUGUUUGUCUGAGGGCCAUGACUAAGUCUGCGGCCUUUCUCUGAUCUCACUUUUCCUUUUGGGCCUGUUCCUCUUGGUCCCUGUUAUAGAACAGUGAGGUUGCCAGGUUUAAUAAUGCCUCUAGAUUUUGUUCAGGGCACAGGGCUCACUUUUGGAGCUUUCUCCUGAUAUCUGUGGCUGAUUGGAUAAUAAACUUAUCUUUUAGGAUCAAUUGACCCUUGAGUGAUUUGGGUGACAGGGGAGUAUAUUUUCUUAAGGCCUUCUGUAGCCACUCGAGGAAGGCAGAAGGAUUUUCUUCCUUUCCCUGAGUUAUGGUGGACAUCAGUGAAUAAUUCAUGGGCUUCUUCCUAAUUAUCCUUAGUCCUUCUAGAACAUAGGUCAACAGAUGUUUAUGACUCCAGUCCCCAUGAUCUGAAUUGAAGUCCCAGUGGGGAUCCAUACUGGGGAUGGCUUGCUGACCAGUAGGGAAUUUGUCCCUUUCUUCAGCUGUCAUUCUAUCAUUUACUUAACUAAGAUACCAGGUACCUCCAAAGUCUUGGGCUGCAGCUAAAGCUGCAUUAUUUUCAUUAAAGGCCAGGGUUUGAUCUAACAAUAGCAUGACAUCUCUCCAAGUGAGAUUGAAGAUUUGCCCUAGACCCUGUAGGACAUCUAUGUACCUAUCAGGAUCAUCUGAAAACUUCCCCAGGUGUGCCUUGAUCUGCUUUAAAUCAGAGAGGGAGAAGUAGACAUGUACCCAUGUUAGGCCAAAUUCCCCUCCCGCUACAAUUUGAAGGGGACAUAACCGACAGCCCAGGGGAGUUUUGUGGUCCUUUGGAGAUUUCUUUGCUUAUUUCCUUCUGGGCAGGGGAGAUUAGAGGAGGCUUGUCACUAAUACGAAGGGGAGCUGUAGGGAGGCUAGGAUAUGGGGGUAAGCUGAAAGGUUCUCCUGUGGGAUGUAAAUUGCAACCUUUGCAUAGAUGUGUAUUCUCCUUUAAUGAAAGGAAAGCUUGGACAUAACUAUUUCACUCCAUUUGCCUUUCUCUUACAGAAAAGGUCAAGCUGCAGGAUAGUAUUGUAAUUUGUACUUCCCUCAGAUGGCCAUUUUUCCCCAUCAGAGAGAGAAUAUUGGGGCCAGGCCACAGUGCAGAAAAAAAUGAGCUGCCUCUUUUUCAGGGUUUGCAGGUCAGACUGGUCCCAAUGGCCUAGGAUGCAUUUCAAGGGUGAGCCUGUUGAUGCCUGUUUCCCAUCUGAAAGACAAAACCACCCACGAUUUUGGUGUGUUUUUCUUCUCCCCCUGCCCAAGAAUCCACAAUGGUCCUUGGGCCCUGCUGAUCGGAAUAGUUGCGCUCACUGAUGCAGCAGCAGAAACAACCCCUGCCCAAGAACCCGUAAUGGUCACUAGACCCUGCUGAUUGGAAUAGUUGCACUCACCAACGCAGCAGCAGAAACAGUAGCUUUCCUCCCAGACCACAAGGAGAACCGAGGAAGGUCGGAUUUAGUGGCCCUUACCAACGCAUUCUCAAAAAACCUGCACCCUUGCCUGUCCUCCUAGACCACAAAGAUGACCGAGAAAAAUUGGAUUUAGUGGCCCUUACCAACACAUUCUCGAAAACCUGUUACAGUCCUAAGCAUUCUCCUUUUAGUAUUGGGACCUUACCAAUUUCCUACAAUGAUGUUAUGCCCCAAAAAUGAAGUGGAGGGCCAUACCAUGAGGGAAGGAAGGGAUCUCCAGGGUUGGAAGAGUGACACCUUUUGUCCUCACUUAUAUGAAUAGGAAGAAUACAAUUUCUGAGGCUCCCCAUAUCCUAGCUUCAGGAAUAGCUUUUAUUAGUCCUGCUUGUCUGAGGAGGGAUCCUAAAAUUCCAGAUAGCCCCCCUACAACAGGGCUUUGGGCAAAAAUUAUGUCUUUCUGAUUAGUGAGCCUAGGUGCCUAAAGAAGGUAACAGAGUCCUGAAGUUUAUACUAGAAGUCAUUCUUAUAGGAGAAACUAGAAAAGCACCAGAGACAGGGAGUGGUUUUUAGAGGUGGGACUAGCCUCGGAGAAGAGAGGCGAGAGGAAGUUUGUCUGACAGGCAUUAGGACCCAGGAGGCAAGGGUCAGGACAGAUAGGAUAGAUGGGCGAGUCUCACUUGGGCGACAUGACUUUGAGAGUUCUGCUCAUGGCCACAGGAUCAACCAACUUGUUGUCAAGACCCCAGAGCUGAAUGGCUUUCCUGUCAACCCUCGACUCAGCCCAGAAGUACAGGAAAAGCGGAAGCUGGUUCCAGGCAAACUAACGCUCCCAACUCCAAAAAGUCGGGGUUUGUUAGAGAGCCCCUUCCCAGAAAGCCUCACACCCAUGUCUUUAGUCCAGCACCUGCGCUAGUCGCUUUUAACUGGCCGACAGGUGCCCGGUAUUUAGCCCCCAAAUUCUAAGGAAAAAUAGGACGAAUAGCAAGCGAAAGGGGUCCGAUGGUACUCACCGCUUGGUGAUAGGCGAUAGUCUCACCGCUUGGUGAUAGGCGAUAGUCCCUUCGUGGUCGCCAAAAUGUGUCCAGUAUUGGUGGGUUCUUGGUCUCACUGACUUCAAGAAUGAAGCUGUGGACCCUCACGGUGAGUGUUACAGUUCUUAAAGAUGGUGUGUCUGGAGUUUGUUCCUUCUGAUGUUUGGAUGUGUCUGGAGUUUAUUCCUUCUGGUAGGUUCGUGGUCUCGCUGACUUCAGGAGUGAAGCUGCAGAUCUUUGCGGUGAGUGUUACAGCUCAUAAAGGUGGUGCGGACCCAAAGAGUGAGCAGCAGCAAGAUUUAUUGCGAAGAGUGAAAGAACAGAGCUUCUACAGCGUGGAAGGGAACCUGAGUGGGUUGCUGCUGCUGGCUCGGGUGGCCUUUUAUUCCCUUAUUUGGCCCCACCCACAUCCUGCUGAUUGGUCUAUUUUACAGAGAGCUGAUUGGUCCAUUUUACAGAGUGCUGAUUGUUCCGUUUUAGAGUGCUGAUUUGUCCAUUUUGACAGAGUGCUGAUUGGUGCAUUUACAAAACUUUAGCUAGACACAAAGUGCUGAUUGGUGCAUUUACAAUCCUUUAGCUAGACAGAAAAUUCUCCAAGUCCCCUACCUGAUUAGCUAGACACAGAGCGCUGAUUGGUGCAUUUACAAACCUUUAGCUAGACACAGAGUGCUGAUUGGUGCAUUUACAAUCCUUUAGCUAGACACAGAGUGCUGAUUGGUACGUUUACAAUCCUUUAGCUAGACAGAAAAGUUCAAGUCCCCACCCGACCCAGAAGCCUAGCCGGCUUCACCUCUCAAUCCCAUAAACAAAUUUGACUCCUUCCCCAUAUCCACUCCCCCUCUUGUGUCUCCAUCCUUCCUUCCCUCCCUCCCAUCAAACCCAGAGGACAUGGACUUCUGUCUCAUCUUCUCCUCUCUGCCUCCCUCCCUCUAUCAUCCUCAGUUGCCUUAUUCUGUCUCUCCUCCCUCUGAAAUUUCUCUUGAUUCUUUUUUUUUUUUUUUGAGGCAGGGUCUCACUCUGUUGCCCAGGCUGGAGUGCAGUGGCAUGAUCUCGGCUCACUGCACCCUCUGCCUCCCGAGUCCAAGCAAUUCUCUGCCUUAGCCUCUCAAGUAGCUGGGAUUACAGGCGCCCACCACCACACCUGGCUAAUUUUUUUGUAUUUUUAGUAGAGAUGGGGUUUCACUAUCUUGGCCAGGCUGGUCUUGAACUCCUAACCUCAUGAUCCACCCGCCUUGGCCUCCCAAAGUGCUGGGAUUAUAGGCAUGAGCCACUGCACCCGGACUUUUUAAAAAUUUAUCGUAGAGAUGAGGUCUUGCUGUGUUGCGUAGGCUGGUCUCAAACUCCAAGGUCCUCCAGCCUCAGCCUCCCAAAGAGCUGGGAUUACAGUCGCGAGGCACUGGACCCAGCCUGUGAUGAAUAUUAAUGCCUUAUUAAUUCUUUACCACCCCCUCCCCACACCAUGAGGCCAGGAAGGGAUGGUGGCAUGGAGGGGUGGGGUGUCAAAACCAUCCCCAUUUUCCAAAUGCAGGAACUGGGGCCAGUGAGCUCCUGUGGUCCAGGAGAGGGAUGUGAUUUACAGCUGCAGCUCUGGAGUUUAACAGGUCCAGGUUCACAUCCCAGCUUCCUGGCCCCUUGUUAGUUUCCUGCCAUGGUGUUUUUCUUUUCUUUCUUUUUUUCUUUCUUUUUUGAGACAGAGUCUUGCUCUGUCACCCAGGCUGGAGUGCAGUGGUGCAAUCUCAGCUCACUGCAACCUCCGCCUCCCAGGUUCAAGUGAUUCUCCUGCCUUAGCCUCCCGAAUAGCUGGGACUACGGGCAUGUGCCACCAUGCCUGGCUAAUUUUUUGUAUUUUUAGUAGAGACGGGGUUUCACCGUGUCAGCCAGUAUGGUCUUGAUCUCCUGACCUUGUGAUCUACCCACCUCAGCCUCCCAGAGUGCGGGGAGUGUAGGAGUGCGCCACCGUGCCCAGGUGGUGGUUUUUUUUUUUUUUUUUCUGUCGUUCCCCAGGUUGGAGGGGCAGGAAAUGCUUUGAGGUCAAGGUGGCUGCAGGAAAAAGGAUGACAUUGAAGAGAUGAGCCCAUCAUUGGCAGAGCCUGGAAAUGAAGAGGGUGUGGCUAGAGGAACCCCCUCUCCUGCAGACUGGACUCACCACCAGCUCCAGUGACAGUGGGCUCAGAGGAGAUCCUCUAAGCCUGCUCAGUACAGGACACAGGCAAACAAGGAACCUGGAGAGGGCAGCCUCUAGCCUCCCUGGCCUGGCAGCUGUAGGACCUACCUCUACAAAGCUAAAAAGUUUGUCACCUAUACCCAGCCACAGCCCCAGGGAAACAGCUGUGUCCCCAGCACCUGCCAGGAAGGGUCAAGACAAGGAAAUCACAGAUAUUUUUUCUUCUAGCGCAAGAACCCCCACCACCUCCCCAAGAGACAUCUAUAAGGAAUAUUUGGAGGGAGAUACUGGGGCAAAAAUAAAUUAACAGGCCGGGCACAGUGGCUUGCGCCUGUAAUCCCACCAGUUUCGGAGGCCGAGGCGGGCAGAUCACUUGAGGUCAGGAGUUUGAGACCAGCCUGGCCAAACCCAUCUAUACUAAAAAUACAAAAAUUAGCUGGGUGCAGUGGGAGGCGCCUGUAAUCUCAGCUACUCGGGAGGCCGAGGCAGGAGAAUCGCUUGAACCCGGGAGGUGGAGGUUGCAGUAAGCUGAGAUCGCACUACCGCGCUCCAGCCUGGGUGACAGAGUGAGACUCUUGUCUCGGAAAAAAAAAAAAAAAAAAUUAACAGCAGCUGGGGUUCAGAAAAUGGACAGAUGUGGUUUUCCUCAAAUACAUGUCCUAGAUGUAGGGUAUCCAAUUAUUACAAUUUUUAUUUUAUUUCAUAUUUAUUUAUUUAUUUUUUAGACAGAAUCUCGCUCUGUUGCCUGGGCUGGAGUGCAGUGGCACUGUAUCCGGAAUUGGGGGGUUCUUGGUCUCACUGACUUCAAGAAUGAAGCCAUGGACCCUUGCGGUAAGUGUUCCAGCUCUUAAGGUGGCGCGUCUGGAGUUUGUUUCUUCUGAUGUUCAGGUGUGUUCAGCGUUUCUUCCUUCUGGUGGGUUCAUGGUUUCACUGGCUCAGGAGUGAAGCUGCAGACCUUCGCAGUGAGUGUUACAGCUCAUAAAAGCAGUGGGGACCCAAAGAGUGAGCAGUACAAGAUUUAUUGCAAAGAGCAAAAGAACAAAGCUUCCACAGUGUGGAAGGGGACCCAAGUGGGUUGCCACUGCUGGCUCGGGCAGCCUGCUUUUAUUCUCUUAUCUGGCCCCACCCACAUCCUGCUGAUUGGUAGAGCCCACUGGUCUGUUUUGACAGGGCGCUGAUUGGUGCGUUUACAAUUCCUGAGCUAGACACAAAGGUUCUCCACAUCCCCACCAGAUUAACUAGAUACAGAGUGUCAACACAAAGGUUCUCCAAGGCCCCACCACAGUAGCUAGAUACAGAGUGUCGAUUGGUGCAUUCACAAACCCUGAGCUAGACACAGGGUGCUGAUUGGUGUGUUUACAAACCUUGAGCUAGAUACAGAGUGCCGAUUGGUGUAUUUACAAUCCCUGAGCUAGACAUAAAGGUUCUCCAAGGCCCCACCAGAGUAGCUAGAUACAGAGUGUUCAUUGGUGCAUUCACAAACCCUGAGCUAGACAUAGGGUGAUGAUUGGUGUAUUUACAAUCCCUGAGCUAGACAAAGGUUCUCCACGUCCCCACCAGACUCAGGAGCCCAGCUAGCUUCACCCAGUGGAUCCUGCACCGGGGCUGCAGGUGGAGCUGCCUGCCAGUCCCACGCCGUGCGCCUGCACUCCUCAGCCCUUGGGUGGUGGAUGGGACUGGGCACCAUGGAGCAUGGGGCAGUGCUCGUCAGGGAGGCGCGGGCCGCACAGGAGCCCAUGGAGGGGGUGGGAGGCUCAGGCAUGGCGGGCUGCAGGUCCCGAUCCCUGCCCCGCGGGAAGGCAGCUAAGGCCUGGUGAGAAAUCAAGCGCAGCGCCGGUGCGCUGGCACUGCUGGGGGACCCAGUACACCCUCCGCAGCCGCUGUCCGGCCCGGGUGCUAAGCCCCUCAUUGCCCGGGGCCAGCAGGGCCGGACGGCUGCUCUGAGUGCAGGGUCCGCCAAGCCCACGCCCACCCGGAACUCCAGCUGGCCCACAAGCACCGCGCGCAGCCCCGAUUCCGGCUCGCGCCUCUCCCUCCACACUUCCCUGCAAGCUGAGGGAGCCAGCUCCGGCCUUGGCCAGCCCAGAAAGGGGCUCCCACAGUGCAGCGGUGGGCUGAAGGGCUCCUGAAGUGCCGCCACAGUGGGAGCCCAGGCAGAGGAGUCGCAGAGAGUGAGCGAGGGCUGUGAGGACUGCCAGCACGCUGUCACCUCUCAGCGCCAUCUCGGCUCACUGCAACCUCCACCUCCUGGGUUCAAGCAAUUCUCCGGCCUCAGCCUCCUGAGUAGCUGGGAUUAUAGGUGCGCAUCACUAUGCCCAGCUAAUUUUUGUAUUUUUAGUAGAAAUGAGGUUUCACCACAUUGGCCAGGCCAGACCAGCCUGGACAAUAGAGUGAGACCCUAUAUAGGGAUCUCACUAUAUAGAGCAAUACAGCGGGAUCACCCGACCUCGGGUGAUCCGCUCGUUGGCCUCCCAAAGUGCUAGUGUUACAAGUGUGAGCCAAUGCGCCCAGCCCUAUUCUUUUUUUUUUUUUUUUUUUUUUUGAAAUCAAGUCUUGCUCUGUCACCCAGGCUGGAGUGCAGUGGCAUGAUCUCUGCUCACCGCAACCUCCACCUCCCGAGUUCAAGUGAUUCUCCUGCCUCAGCCUCCUGAGUAGCUGGGAUUACAGGCACCCGCCACCACACCCGGCUAAUUUUUGUAUUUUUAGUAGAGACGGGGUUUCACCAUGUUGGUCAGGCGGGCCUGGAACUCGUAAUGUCAGAUGAUCCACCUGCCUCGGCCUCCUAAAGUGCUGGGAUUACAGGCAUGAGCGACCACGCCAUCUUUUUUUUUUUUUUUUAACAAAACACAGAUGUAGAAUUAGAGCCUUCAGGGGUGGGUGCAGUGGCGCUCACACCUUUAAUCCCAUCACUUUGUGAAGCCAAGGCAGGAGGAUCCCUUGAGUCUCGGUGUUUGAGACCAGCCUGGACAAUAGAAUGAGACCCUGCCUCUACGAAAAAAAAAUUAUUUUUGUUUUGAGAUGGAGUCUUGCUCUGUUGCCCAGGCUGGAGUGCAGUGGCGCAAUCUCGGCUUAUUUGCAGCCUCUGCCUCCUUGGCUCAAGUGAUUCUUCUGCGUCAGCCUCUAGAGUAGCUGGGACUACAGACGUGCACCACCAUGCUCGGCUAAUUUUUGUAUUUUUUUGUAGAGAUGGGGGUUCCACCAUGUUGGCCCGGCUGGUCUCGAACUGCUGACCUCAAGUGACCUGCCUGUCUCGGCCUCACAAAUGGCUGGGAUUACAGGCACGAGACACCGUGCCUGGCCCUGGGAACAUGUUUACAUGGACUUUGUUCACUUUUUAAAACAAACUGAGGGUAACUUACUAGAUCUGUGAACUAAAGAAAGAGAAAAAAAAGAAAGAAAACAAACAAGAACAAAGAACAAAGUGUUCUGAGGUUGCUUUUAUUCCAAGAACUCUGUGAGCUCCGCCCAGAUACCAUUGGCGCCUGCUUGUGUCCCCAGGGGACCUACACACAACAGCACCAGCACCAUGAGGGCGCUCUCGACCCACACAAGCCCUGGUCCCCGUCAGUCAAUGUGACUGAGUCCGCCAUUGAGGCCAGUCUGGCUGGCCCCAAGUGGUCCCUCUGAGUCCCCAACUCCCUGGCCAGCAAGGAGUGAAGCUCCAUGCCCCUUGGUCCACGCCUCUAGAGUCUGAGCAUAUCCUGCAGCCUCGAUCUCAGGAGGCAACGCAUGCAGCCCCCCUGCACUCAGAAAGGGGGCUUCUCCAGUCGUGGUCUUCUUCUCUGUCCACAAGUUUCCAGAUGGCCCCUCCUUGGAGCCCCUGCCCAGGCAGGGAACGGCCACAUCCUCGGGCAGAGCCAAGAGUCACCGUCUUUCGUGGGCCUGGGACCAGGCCCAGCCAGGACGCUAGGAGGCUGCCUCUGCUGCCAUGGGCUGGAUCAACAUGGUGGUGGCCUGCAGCGGGUAGUAGCGGCCCCGCCAGGUCUUCCAGAAGAUUCCCUUCUUAAGCUUCUGCCGCUGCUGUGGGAUGGAGCGGAAGUACUGGCCGUUGAGGUUGGAAUGGCUGCAGGUGCCAAACCACCAGCCUCCUGCCGGGGUCAGGGGAGAGGGAACAUGGUCAGGUCUUUGAGCCACCGAUGGGGCUGAAAGGAGAUAGGGAUAGGGUUGAGGAUGAGGCAGGUUGGGGACCAGGCUGGGCUUUGGACUUGACUUUUUUUUUUUUGAGAUUGAGUCUUACUCUGUCACCCAGGCUGGAGUGCAGUGGUGCGAUCUCAGCUCACUGCAACCUCCGUCUCUCAGGUUUAAGUGAUUCUCCUCCCUCAGCCUCCCGAGUAGCUGGGAUUACAGGCGCCUGCCACCACACCUGGCUAAUUUUUGGUCUUUUUUUUUGAGACUGAGUCUCACUCUAUCUCCCAGGCUGGAGUGCAGUGGCACAAUCUCGGCUCACUGCACCUCUGCCUCCCAGGUUCAAGGGAUUCUCAUGCCUCAGCCUCCUGAGUAGCCGGGAUUACAGGCACCCGCCACCACGCCUGGCUAGUUUUUGUAUUUUUAGUAGUGAGGGGGUUUCACCAUGUUGGCCAGGUUGGUCUCAAACUCCUUACCUCAUGUGAUCCACCCUCCUCAGCCUCCCAAAGUGCUGGGAUUACAGGUAUGACCCACUGCGCCUGGCCUAAUUUUUGUAUUUUUAGUAGAGACAGGGUUUCACCAUGUUGGCCAGGCUAGUUUUGAACUCCUGACCUCAGGUGAUCCACCCACCUCGGCCUCCCAAAGUGCUGGGAUUACAGGUGUGAGCCCCCACACCCGGCCUUAUUUUUAAGUUUAAAAACAAUUUUUUUUGAGACAGGGCCUGGCUCCAUUGCCCAGGCUGGAGUGCAGUGGUGUGGUGAUGGCUCAAUGCAGCGUCAACCUUACGGGCUCAAGUGAUUCUUGUACCUGGGCCUCCCAAGUAGCUGGGACCACAGGUGUGAGCCACCAUGCCUGCAUUUUUUCUUUUUCUUUUGAGGCAGGGGUCUCACUCUGUCACCCAGGCUUGAGUGCAGUGGCGCAGUCUCAGCUCACUGCAGCCUUAUCUCCUAGGCUCAAGAGAUCCUCCCAACUCAGCCUCCCAAGUAGAUGGGAACACAGGCAGGCACCACCAUGCCCAGCUAGUUUUUUGUAUUUUUAAUUGAGACAGGAUUUCGCCCUGUUGCUCAGAUUGGUCUCCUGGGCUCAAGUGAUCCACUCGCUUCAGCCUCCCAAAGUGCUGGGAUUGCAAGUGUGAGCCACCGUGCCUAAUUUUUUUUUUUUUUUGAGAAUUGCUUGAACCCGGGAGGUGGAGGUUGCAGUGAGCCGAGAUCGCACCACUGCACUCCAGCUUAGGCAACAGAGUGAGACCCUGUUUCAAAAAAAAAAAAAAAAAAAGAAUCCUGUGGAGCACCAUUAUAAAGAUGUUUGUGGCCGGGUAUUGUGGCUCACGCCUGUAAUCCCAACACUUUGGGAGGCCGAGGUGGGCAGAUCACUUGAGGUCAGGAGUUCAAGACCACCCUGGCCAACAUGGUGAAACCCCGUCUCUACUAAAAAUACAAAACAAUUAUCUGUGCAUGGUGGCGGGAACCUGUAAUCCCAGCUACUCAGGAGGCUGAGGCAGGAGAAUCACUUGAACCCAGGAGGCGGAGGCUGCAGUGAGCCAAGAUCACGUCACUUGCACUCCAGCCUGGGAGACACAGCGGGACUCUGUCUCAAAAAAUAAAUAAGUAGGCCGGGCGCGGUGGCUCACGCCUGUAAUCCCAGCACUUUGGGAGGCUGAGGCAGGCAGAUCACGAGGUCAGGAGAUCGAGACCAUCCUGGCUAACACGGUGAAACCCCAUCUCUACUAAAAAUACAAAAAAAUUAGCCAGGCGUGGUGGUGGGCACCUAUAGUCCCAGCUACUCGGGAGGCUGAGGCAGGAGAAUGGUGUGAACUCAGGAGGUGGAGCUUGCAGUGAGCCAAGAUCGUGCCACAAAGCACUCCAGCCUGGGUGACAAAGUGAGACUCCGUCUCAAAAAAUAAAUACAUAAAUAAAUAAAUAAACAAACACAUAAGUAAAUAAAAGUAAAGACGGUCAAGACCCUUUUCAGGAUGGGAAAACUGAGGCCAGAUAGGCUAAGUUAGUGGCCCAAUCACACACACGGCAUGUAAGGAAGAGGUGGGGGCAGGAAACAGAUGCAAUGUGGGGUUGAAGGCAGGACAGAGCAGCAGAAAGAUAAGGAGGGAAGCUGCUGGCUGGGUGUGGCAUGGCAGGGCCUGCUCACCAGAGAGGCUCUUGGCGCAGUUCUUGUCCCUGCGGAGGUCGUGAUCCUGGUCCCAAGUGGAGAAGGGUACGGAGAGGCCGCUGGGUGGGACGGUGGUGGCGCCCAGCUGGCCGGCCACGGGUGCAGUGAGCUGCAGGCUAUAGGCCGUGUCCUCGCCACCCAGGUGCACGGAGAACUGCAGCAACUCGGCGUUGCCAUCCCAGUCCCGCAGCUGCACGGCCAGGCGGCUGUUGCGGUCCCCCGUGAUGCUAUGCACCUUCUCCAGACCCAGCCAGAACUCGCCUGGAGUGGGAGAGGCCACUCCAUGAGGCAGGGCCACUUCUGAGGGUCCCUCUUCCUCCCCUGCCUCUGUCCCCACUAGAAACACCUACCGUGGGGAUCCCCAAACCCCGCCUUGUAGGCUUCCCAGGGCCGGUUGAAGUCCACUGAGCCAUCGUGGCGCCUCUGAAUUACUGUCCAGCCUCCAUCUGCCCAGAAAGGUACAAGGUCACCAGGAAGUCCCUCUUCACAGACGACCCCACUCCCUCAUCUGGCUGCCAAGCACCAAACCCCCUCCAAACCCAGGAAGACAGCAGCUCCCUCACUCAUCCCUGGAGGACUCGAGGAGGGUGGGUCAGAGGGAGGAAUAUUAUGGGCUGGCCUUGGGAAGAUCUUUGUCCCAAGAACCCAGCAGGGACUGAGUGUGGGAGGGAGUAGGCAGUGGAAAUCUGCAAAGCCUCUCUGGGCCAGCUGAACUGGGUAAAACCCCGUGUUGUAACCUCUUGUAAUGGAAAGGACUUCUCAGUGGAAAAAAAAGCUUUCUUUUUUUUUUUUUUUUUUUUUAGAGAUGGAGUCUCACUCUGUUGCCCAGGCUGGAUCGCAGUGCCGCAAUCUCAGCUCACUGCAACCUCUGCCUUCGGGGCUCAAGCGAUUCUUGUGCUUCAGCCCCACAAGCAGCUGGAAUCACAGGCACGCCCGGCUAAUGUUUAUGUUGGUAGAGAUAGGGUUUCACCAUGUUGGCCAGGCUGGUCUUGAACUUCUGACCUCAAGUGAUUUGCCCGCCUCAGCCUCCCAAAGUGCUGGCAUUUCAGGUGUAAGCCACCGUGCUCAGCCUUUGUUUUUUUUUAGAAACGAGGUUUUGUUGUGUUGCCCAGGUUGGAGUGCGGUGGCUAUUCACAGGUGUGAUCACGGCUCACGGCAGCCUUUAACUCCUGGGCUGAAGUGACCCUCCUGCCUUGGCCUCCCGAGUAGCUGGGACUACAGGCAUGUGCCACCAUGCCCAGCAAGGGCUGAAUUUUAUUUUAUUUUAUUUUAUUUUCUCUUUUUUAUUUUUUUGAUGGGGGGACGGAGUCUCGCUCUGUCGCCCAGGCUGGAGUGCGGUGGCGUCAUCUCAGCUCACUGCAACCUCUGCCUCCCAGGUUCAAGAGAUUCUCCUGCCUCAGCCACCUGAGUAGCUGGGAUUACAGGUGCACACCACCAUGCCCGGCUAAUUUUUGUAUUUUUAGUAGAGACGGGGUUUCACCAUGUUGGUCAGGCUGGUCUCGAACUCCUGACCUCGUGAUCUGUCUGCCUCAACCUCCCAAAGUGCUGGGAUUACAGGUGUGAGCCACUGCACUUGGCCUUUUUUUUUACUUUUACAAAAUUUUUUGUAAAGAUGAGCUCUCACUAUGUUGUCCAGGCUGGUCUCGAACUUCUGGGCUCAAGUGAUCCUCAUGAUAGGCCUCCCAAAGUGUCGGGAUUACAGAUAUGAGCCACUACACCCAGACAAGGGCUGCAUUUUAAAGAAAAGAGGCCAGGAGCAGUGGCUAAUGCCUAUAAUCCCAGCAUUUUGGGAGGCCAAAGUCGGCAAAUCAUUUGAGGUCAGGAGUUUGAGACCAGCCAGACCAACAUGGUGAAACCCAGUCUCUACUAAAAAUACAAAAAUUAGCUGGGUGUGGUUGCUCGCACCUGUAGUCUCAGCUACUGGGGAGGCUGACGCUGGAGAAUUGCUUGAACCCGGGAGGCGGAGGUUUCAGUGAGCUGAGAUCGUGGCAUUGCACUCCAGCUCCAAGAGCAAAACUCCAUCUCAAAAAAAAAAAAAAAAAAAAAGACCAGCUUGGGCAACAUAGCAAGACCCUGCCUUUAAUUUUUUUGUUUUGUUUUGUUUUCAAUUUAAAGAAAGACAACAGGGCCUAUGGGGAGAGGGGCCCCUGGUGGACUAACACACCCUACCUGAGGUCAUCUUGCAGUUCACCAAAAAUGGCGGAGACCCCUGAGGCUGGAUUUCAAAUAGUCCACUCUGCCUCUCCCCAACCUGGAACAGCUCCUGGCAAUCCCUGGGCAGCCCUGAAGGGAGAUAAAGUGGAGACUUGAAACAGGAGGGCAGCCCCUGGGGGGGGUCUCAGGAGCCAGGCAUAUCUGGGGGCUUAACAGUGGAUGACCAGGGAAGUAAAAGGCAAAUCUUAUCUCAUGACCACCUCUCUGCCAUCUGCCUAACCUCUUCCAUGGCUCCCUAUGUCCUUCCUCAGCAUGGUCCACAAGGCACCUGGAGGACCAGCCCCCGUGCCCAUCCUCCUCCUGCCAUGCUGUACCCACACCCUCUCUGGCACACAGGCUUUCUUCCCACCCUUGUACCACACACCGUCCUGCCACAGGGACUUUGCACAUGCUGUUCCCCCUGCCUGGGACUCUCUUUUUUUGUUUUGUUUUUUGAUACGGAGUCUCGCUCUGUCGCCAGGCUGGAGUGCAGUGGCGCAAUCUUGGCUCACUGCAACCUCCGCCUCCCAGGUUCAAGCAAUUCUGCCGCAGCCUCCGGAGCAGCUGGGACUACAGGCAUGUGCCACCACGCCCGACUAGUUUUUGCAUUAUUUGUAGAGACGGGGGUUUCACCAUGUUGGCCAGACUGGUCUCGAUCUCCUGACCUCGUGAUCCGCCAGCCUUGGCCUCCCAAAGUGCUGGGAUUACAGGUGUGAACCACUGCGCCCGGCGGGACUCUCUUUCCUCACUUCUCUCUCUGGGUCCCAGCUUCUGGAAGGACACCCUGCCUUGCCUCACCCCCAGACCAGGCCAGAACACCCCAAAUGGGAAUUGAGCAAGGACUUCCCACUCCUGGACACUGAGGUCAUCUAAUGGUCUCUCCUCUGACUCAAUGGAGGCUCCAUGAGGCUGGGGACAAGGAGCAGCUCUGCCCACAGCCUGGCACCAGCAUCCACGCAGGCCCCAGCGCAUAGCAGCUGCUCAAUAAAGACUUGAGGAAUGGGCCGGGCGCAGUGGUUCAUGCCUGUAAUCCAGCACUUUGGGAGGCGGGCGGAUCGGUCAGGAGUUUGAGACCAGCCUGGUCAACAUGGCCAAACCCCAUCUCUAGUAAAACAUACAAAGAUUAGCUGGGUGUGAUGGUGGACGCCAGUAAUCCCAGCUCCUUAGGAGGCAGAGGCAGGAGAAUCACUUGAACCCGGGAGGCAGAGGUUGCAGUCAGCUGAGGUUGAACCAUUGCACUCCAACCUGGGUGACAGAGUGAGACUCUGUCUCAAAAAAAAAAAAGACUUGAUAAAUGAAUAAAAAUUAGCUGGGCGUGGUGGCGGUAGGCGCCUAUAAUCCCAUCUACUUGAGAGGCUGAGGCAGGAGAAUCACUUGAACCCAGUGGGAGGCAGAGGUUGCAGUGAGCUGAGAUUGCGCCACUGCACUCCAGCCUGGACAACAGAGCGAGACUCCGUCUCAAAAAGCAAACAAAACAGUCUUGACAAAUGAAUGAAUGAAUGAAUGAAUGAGGCAGCAGGUCCAGAACGGGAAGAACUGUGCUGAGCAGGAGCAUCUCAGAGGCUCUGCCUGGGGUCCCAGCUCCUAGAGGGAGAGGAGGCAGGGUUGAGGAAAGAAAGAGGGAGGGAGGAGGGGAGGAUGGCGUUGAGCACGUCUGGAGGCUCAGACGCUCCAGACUGGGAGGAACCGCCCCCAGCCCAGCCGGAAAAGUAGGGGAAAGGUCGAAAUGAGUCUGCACGGUGGGGGUGGGGGCGGGCCCAGAGUGACCAGGAAGACGCUUUCCGGCCCCUCAGGCAUCUCCCCUUUCCCCUACUUUCCUCCCAUCCAGUAAGGAUGGGCACGCGGCCAAACCACCAGUGUGGCUUCCAUGAAUGCCAGCUGUUCGCCUUCCCAGCUCUGAACUUUCUCCUACUUGGCGGGCCUGAGCCAAGAGUCUGGGAGUCCCGAACCCACAGAACCCCUGCCCCCUUCCACCGCAUUUCCCAGCCAGGACUUGUGCCUUCCCCCGUCACCCUCCAGAAGCCCCUCAUCCUGGGAUGGUGGCUUUGGGAGGGUGGACAGGACCCUGACCACGCUGAGAUGCUAGCCUGGCGGGGUUGGGGGCGGGCAGCACGGAGGUGGGAAGGAGCGGGAGCUUGGGGAGGAGAGAACCCUCAGGUCUACAGUGCUGGAAGCCUGCCACUGACCCUAGGGUGUGAGAGGGGGAUCCAAACUUUCACCCAGUUGGCUGUGGACAGCCACAGAUGCAGGGAAGGAUGAGGACCACAGAGAAACCGUGUGGGGCCGUGAACUUAGAGAACCGCGAGUCUGCAUCGGACACACGUGGACAUGCUGUGGUUCGAGAUGAACGGAGAUUUGGGAAUAAAGCACCUACAACUUGUGGUGGCAGCAAAAGCCCACUUUCUGCGGUGGGGAGGGGGCCGGCGGGGGCGGGGAGGGAGGAGGAGAACAAGAGAGGAAGGAGGAAGAGGGGUCAGGGACCUGGAGCAUUGGAUUUGUAAGAUACAAGAGUGUUUCUGGUCUGGGAGCUGGGGGUUCCCAGCCCUAAUUCCCACAUACCCCAAGACAUUGUGGAGGGCCCAAAUCUACAAACACUACUACCUGGCACCCCCUCCUCCAUGACACCCUCCCCUAGAAGGUUCUAACCUUCAGGAUGGCACCCCGAACCCCAUUUCUACCUUCUCCAGCACCCCUGCAGCUCAAGUCCCUCAAGACCUCUUUCUCCACCUCUGUUCCAAUCAGUGAUCAGCAGGGCUUCAGGGACAGCCCACUGGCUUGCAGAGGAGAAGGGUUGGGUGGCCUGGCUGGGCCAGGUCAGGGCUGAGGAAGGAGGUGCUCCCAUCAGCUUUGACCCAGAGACUGGUGAGCCCUCAGGGACUCCAGGCCAGGACAUCUUCUCCUUAAGGUGGACCUGACAAGGAGAGGACCAGCAAUGGCAAGUGGCGGGGUAGGGGUGGCCACCGGAGAGCAUCGAGGGGCAGACACUCACGGUGCAGGCGGCUGACAUUGUGAGCCGGGUCAACUGGCUGGGCCAUCUCGGGCAGCCUCUUUCUUCGGGCAGGCUUGGCCACCUCAUGGUCUAGGUGCUUGUGGUCCAGGAGGCCAAACUAGGAUGGGACGGGAGGAGGGUGUCAGGUCCUGCCUGGCCCCACGUCCCCAGCCACACGUCCAGUUCUCACCACCUCCCUCUCAACCUGGGGUCCAGCUAUCAGAGGGACCUUUUCUCCCUUGAUCCUAGGGUUACCUGGCUUUGCAGAUGCUGAAUUCGCAGGUGCUGCUUCUCCAGGUGCCGCUGCUGCUGGGCCACCUUGUGGAAGAGUUGCUGGAUCCUGCUGUUCUGAGCCUUGAGUUGUGUCUGGGGAGGGGUGAAAACCUUGGUGAGGACCCAGCUUGCCUACCCCAACCUCUUAAUUCAUCCACUCAUCCAUCCUUCCAAAUCUCCAUCCGCUGAGGCCAGGCAAGGGAGUCUUUCUUUUUUCUUUUUUUUCCCAAUGACGGGGUCUCGUUCUCUCGCCCAGGCUGGAGUGCAGUGGUGCUGUCACAGCUCACUGCAGCCUCCAACUCCUGGGGUCAGGCGAUCCUCCUGUUUUCAGCCUCCUGUGUAGCUGGGACUACAGUCAUGCAGCUCUAUGCCUGGCUUAUUUUUUAUUUUUUCAGACAGAGUCUCGCUCUGUCACCCAGGUUGGAGUGCAGUGGCGCAAUCUUGGCUCACUGCAACCUCUGCCUCCCAGACUCAAGUGAUUCUUGUGUCUCAGCCUCCCAAGUAGCUGCCACCACAC